CUUUCCUACGGGGGGCAGCAGUGGGGGAUAUUGCACAAUGGGGGGAACCCUGAUGCAGCGACGCCGCGUGGGUGAAGAAGCGCCUCGGCGCGUAAAGCCCUGUCAGCAGGGAAGAAAAUGACGGUACCUGAAGAAGAAGCCCCGGCUAACUACGUGCCAGCAGCCGCGGUAAUACGUAGGGGGCAAGCGUUAUCCGGAUUUACUGGGUGUAAAGGGGGCGCAGACGGCGAUGCAAGCCAGGAGUGAAAGCCCGGGGCCCAACCCCGGGACUGCUUUUGAAACUGUUGAACUAGAUUGCAGGAGAG
rnacentral:rRNA from 1 species